GGCUAGGUGGCUUAGUGGUCAGCAGGUUUGCCUCUCACCCCUGAGGUUGGGGGUUUGAUUCCCUCCUCUGCCC